rnacentral:lncRNA from 1 species
CAAGAAGAUGAGCCUGGGGCCGGAGUGAAGGUAGCUGCAGACAGCCUGGGAUGCCUGCAUGGAGCUGGCCUGGGGCACCACCCGGCCAGGGCAGCCAUGCUCUCGGGACAAAAUAGGAAGCACAUAUGUUCAGGAGAAUUGCACUCACAUCCACUUGAUGUUUGUCAGUGCCUCAACCUAAUACCCUGACCAUUUCCUCUCACUCAAACUGAAACUCUUGCCCUUACACUCAUGCUGUGGUUUUAGUUCUGCUUCCAUCAUGAUAACAGCGAGGACCCACACCAGCAGGUACCAGUGCGUGCAACAACCAUCUCUGCAAAGAGAAGAGUGUAGAGAGGGAAACGGUGCUGUGAUUCAGGAAAAACUUCAUGGAAAAGUGACCAUAGCAGCUUAGUGUAUGUGAUGUAUGAUAAUAAUGGUCCUUUACUAGCCAUAUACUAGACCAUGGGAUCCCAACACGAAGAGAAGAUAUUCAAAGAAAUAAUAAGGAAAAAUUUCCUUAACUCCUCACACCUUGCAGCAGGUGCUGACAUGGCGACCACAGCACAAGUCCUCUGGCUUUGUUUCCUGGGAUGCGUCAUCCACUCGGCCGCAGAAGCAGAGAUUCCUCCCAAUGGGACCAGCAAUCACAUCCCAGGUCGGCUCCACCUGCU